GGUGUGGUGCGUCUGGUCGCUGCGAGCAAUCGUGGGUGUGUACCGGUGUGCGUGCCUGCCAUUCGGGUUGUUGUACAUCGAAAGGUGUAUGGUAAGCCCCGUUUACUUUGAGUAAAUUAGAGUGUUCCAAGCGGGCGAUGGUGCCGUGAAUACAUGAGCAUGGAAUAAUGAGAUAGGACUCGGGUUCUGUUUUGUUGGUUUUCCGGUGAUCUGAGUAAUGAUUGAUAGGGACAGUUGGGGGGUGCUAGUAUUCAACGGCCAGAGGUGAAAUUCUUGGAUUCGUUGAAGACUAACUUGUGCGAAAGCAUUCACCAAGGAUGUCUUCUUUAAUCAAGAACGAAAGUUGGGGGGAUCGAAGACGAUCAGAUACCGUCGUAGUCUCAACUAUAAACGAUGCCAACUAGGGAUACGUGGACGUUUGUUCGAAGACUCCAUGUGCACCUGACGAGAAAUCCAAGUUUUUGGGUUCCGGGGGG
rnacentral:rRNA from 1 species